rnacentral:rRNA from 1 species
AACGAACGCUGGCGGCGCGCCUAAUACAUGCAAGUCGAGCGAGAAGACGUAGCAAUACGUUUGUAAAGCGGCGAACGGGUGAGGAAUACAUGGGUAACCUACCCUCGAGUGGGGAAUAACUAGCCGAAAGGUUAGCUAAUACCGCGUACGCUCCUUGGACUUCGGUUCAGGGAGGAAAGCGAUACCGUGGGUAUCGCGCUCUUGGAUGGGCUCAUGUCCUAUCAGCUUGUUGGGAGGUAACGGCUCACCAAGGCUUCGACGGGUAGCUGGUCUGAGAGGACGAUCAGCCACACUGGCACUGCGACACGGGCCAGACUCCUACGGGAGGCAGCAGUAAGGAAUAUUGCGCAAUGGGCGAAAG